CAGCAUCGCGCGGGUUCCUUC
rnacentral:miRNA from 1 species